CGGUAACGGGCCCUUCGGGGUGCCGACGAGUGGCGGACGGGAGAGUAAUGCAUCGGAAUCUGCCCAGUAGCGGGGGAUAACCCGGGGAAACUCGGGCUAAUACCGCAUACGCCCUACGGGGGAAAGCGGGGGAUCUUCGGACCUCGCACUAUUGGAUGAGCCGAUGUCGGAUUAGCUUGUUGGUAGGGUAACAGCCUACCAAGGCGACGAUCCGUAGCUGGUCUGAGAGGAUGAUCAGCCUCACUGGGACUGAGACACGGCCCAGACUCCUACGGGAGGCAGCAGUCGGGAAUAUUGGACAAUGGGCGAAAGCCUGAUCCAGCAAUGCCGCGUGUGUGAAGAAGGCCUGCGGGUUGUAAAGCACUUUCAGUAGGGAAGACGGGGGUAGUCGUUAACAGCGGCGGCCCUUGACGUUACCUACAGAAGAAGCACCGGCUAACUCCGUGCCAGCAGCCGCGGUAAUACGGAGGGUGCAAGCGUUGUCCGGAAUCACUGGGCGUAAAGGGUGCGCAGGCGGGGCAGCAAGUCGGAGGUGAAAGCCCGUGGCUCAACCACGGAAGUGCCUUCGAAACUGUUGCUCUUGAGUCCCGGAGAGGUUGCCGGAAUUCGUGGUGUAGCGGUGAAAUGCGUAGAUAUCACGAGGAACACCAGAGGCGAAAGCGGGCAACUGGACGGGUACUGACGCUCAGGCACGAAAGCGCGGGGAGCAAACAGGAUUAGAUACCCUGGUAGUCCGCGCCGUAAACGAUGAAUGCUCGCCGUUAUCCCGCUUAAGGGAUAGUGGCCAAGCUAACGCGUUAAGCAUUCCGCCUGGGGAGUACGAUCGCAAGGUUGAAACUCAAAGGAAUUGAC
rnacentral:rRNA from 1 species